rnacentral:rRNA from 1 species
UGCAAGUCGAGGGGCAGCAUGGUCUUAGCUUGCUAAGGCCGAUGGCGACCGGCGCACGGGUGAGUAACACGUAUCCAACCUGCCGAUAACUCGGGGAUAGCCUUUCGAAAGAAAGAUUAAUACCCGAUGGUAUAAUCAGACCGCAUGGUGCGGGGGUAAAAACUCCGGUGGUACAGGAUGGUCCCGCGUCUGAUUAGCCAGUUGGCGGGGUAACGGCCCACCAAACCGACGAUGGAUAGGGGUUCUGAGAGGAAGGUCCCCACAUUGGAACUGAGACACGGUCCAAACUCC